UACGAAGGUGGCAAGCGUUGUUCGGAUUUACUGGGCGUACAGGGAGCGUAGGCGGUUGGAUAAGCCCUCCGUGAAAUCUCCAGGCUUAACCUGGAAAGUGCAGAGGGGACUGUUCAGCUAGAGGAUGGGAGAGGGAUGUAGAAGUUCCAGGUGUAGCGGUAGAAAUGCGUAGAUAUCUGGAGGAAUACCGGUGGCGAAGGCGGCAUCCUGGACCAUUACUGACGCUGAGGCGCGAAAGCUAGGGGAGCAAACGGG
rnacentral:rRNA from 1 species